UGGGGAAUAUUGGACAAUGGGCGCAAGCCUGAUCCAGCCAUGCCGCGUGAGUGAUGACGGCCUUAGGGUUGUAAAGCUCUUUCGCUCGGGACGAUAAUGACGGUACCGAGAUAAGAAGCCCCGGCUAACUUCGUGCCAGCAGCCGCGGUAAUACGAAGGGGGCUAGCGUUGUUCGGAAUUACUGGGCGUAAAGCGCGUGUAGGCGGGUCUUUAAGUCAGGGGUGAAAUGCCAAGGCUCAACCUUGGAACUGCCUUUGAUACUGGAGAUCUUGAGUCCGGGAGAGGUGAGUGGAAUUGCGAGUGUAGAGGUGAAAUUCGUAGAUAUUCGCAAGAACACCAGUGGCGAAGGCGGCUCACUGGCCCGGAACUGACGCUGAGACGCGAAAGCGUGGGGAGCAAACA
rnacentral:rRNA from 3 species